AUUCCCUUAAUUUUAACAAUUGCUGGUGAAUUUCCUAGAGGUACUGCUCAGUGAUAAUGAGCUGCUGAUUUGAGCUUACACUGGAGAAAAUGAAGAGUUGUUUCCAAAAAGCUAAAGCAAGACAGACUAAAGCACUGAGUGAUUGUAACUGUCCAGGUCAUCCGUGUAUUUGGACAGCUGAGUGCAAAUGCAUGAGAUCUGCAUUAUGAAGUCCUUUCAGCCAUGGGAUACUUAUAAAGAAGACUGAGAGGCUGGAAAGAAUUUCUGGAAAGGAUUUUCACUCCCAGAAUGAAAGCAGUGGGAUUUAAUUUCAGAGAAAGUAUUCCAACAGAAGUUAAUCCUGGCCUAAAUACGUGCAAUGCAAAUGAUGUGCUAAAGUACAGGAUAAAACCAAAAGCAUUGGCAAAGUUAAAGCAUUUAGAGUUAGGAGGAGUUGUGUCAGUGUUAGACUAGUUUGCUGCAGGCUACUUGCCAUAUGCUUUGCAAUGAUACUUGCACUUGAUUAAAAAGUAUUUCUAUAAGACAAUCAAUUAAUGUUAUUAAUAAUGCUAUUAUGAAUCUGACAUUAAGGAUCAAAGCCAAGCAGCUAGGAUGGAAGUCAGCUGCAGGUCGUGAAAAAUGUCUGCACUUAGGCAAUAAUGAAAAUCAGAAGAAUGACAUCUUCCAUCAGCUCUGAGCUUUGUGCAAGAUCAUACAGCUCCAAGUGAAGAAGAUUUUGUCCUGUUUGAUUCUGCGGUGCACCUGCCAGAUAAACUCUGUGUCAAAGUUUCCUUGAACUCAAUGACAGUAUGAUCAAGCUUUUCACAAAUCUAAUCAAAACAUUUGCAACCUGAGAACAGAGCUUCAUGUUACAACACUACGUAUCGUGGAUAUUCCUCAAGCAAUCAACUAGCAAAAUAACACUUGUUUUACAAUCUAAACUAAGCUGCCUGGUGAAUGAUUGCACUUGGAGUAUUGCUGCCAUCAGUGGAAAGUGCAAGACUGCUGUGGGGAUGACCUGCAGGGCCAGAUCUGGAGAAGGAAUCUUACAGUUCAUAAACAAGAUCACAAAAAAAUAACGUGCUUUGAUACCUCUUCCACUGAGGCUGCGAAACAUGAGUUACUGAAAAUACCACACUGCAGCUUGUGUCCACAAGGCUCAGGAGAAUGAGAUAAGACCUGACACCUGGGAUUUUUGCAACAUCUUGAAAUUAAUUGAAAGAUCCAGUGUUUGCCUGAGAGAAAGGGCUAUGCUGUGCUGCAAACAACUUGGAAGCAGGUACAGAAGGUUGUAUUGAAACAAGAGGCAAACCUCUCCCAGAGCAGACUGUAAACUAUUCCUGAGGUGGAAGAAACAUCAAUAUGAAUUGUUGACAGAAAAAAAAUCCUUGUGCUGCUCUUCUGCCCCAUUUUGCAACUGUGCUAUCCUGGCAAAGACUUUUGGAUUAAAUCUAUAGAUUACACUGGACCUGGCUUCACUCAAGAGACCGAAAUAUGCGACACUCCUUUGAUGAGCAGAUACACUAUAUUCAAUCUAUCUAGCAGCUUUUGUUCUGCACAGGCCAAAUCUCCUUCCAACGUUAGUAUUAUUUAUUAGCUCACGAGCUUUCCUCUGCAAGUCAUCACCAGGAGAUCUGAGAGCCUCUACAGACACUAGUGAGUCUAUUCUCAUACUGCGAGAGAGAGUGCUGGGAAAGUCAGAAGAAACCUGAAAUUUCAUGGUUGGAUGCCCAGUUACAGAUGUCUAGAACAUGUAUUCAAAGCAUGUCCAUAGGAAAUGUUUACUAAACGUAAUUUACCCAGCAUCAUUGAGCCCACUGUACAAAGAACUCUGUCAUUUUAAGUGAUGAAAGUACUUAUUUACAAUGCUUUACAAACAUACAGUUCGUUAGAAGUCUAAUUGGAGCUAAGGUUCUUCUGAUUCACCGCAUUUUUGGAAAGGUGCUUGGAUAAAAAAUGAGCUAAGAAAAUAUGCACAAGCUUUACAAAACAAAGUAACAAGGAGCUGAUAUUAAAUUACAUAUAGUACCCUUGAUUUUUGUAUUUAUGCAUCUCAAGCCACUACUCCACUCCAUUAUUACAUUUCCAGGUCUCAAUGUUUUCACUCAAAGUUCUGAGUACUUCUGAAAACUCAGUGCAGGCCCCACCCCCAGUAUUAGCGAUGCCAGGGAGCACAGACACGUGGUGUGGUGCCACCUCAGCUGUGAAUAGUUAACACUGUUAUAGUUCUAGACUUCAGCCAGGAAUGUGAAUGCUACCUGUGAGGGCAGGGUGCCUUGGGACAGAAAGUCCUUGGCAGGAGCUAAACCUUAAUGAGCUUAAAAUGUAUUGAAGAUUUUGGCAAAUACAAAGACAGGUCACAGAAUAGAUAGCAGCAGAAAUUUUCCUAUGUGUAAUGUUUAUAAGACAAUUAUUUACAUUAUCUGGAUGGUUUUAAUUAUAGGAUAGUUCAGACCAGUUUCUUUAAGUUUUCCCAAGAUAAUUAGUAACCCUGUGAAUUUGCAUAUUUUCCAUUGCUCUAUCGAAGCAAAUCAGCUAUACUUAUCAGAAGAUUGACCUGGCAACCUCUGUUCUUAGCAGAUUAUAGUCUGAGUUUCAUCAUGACAUCAGCAAGUAUAUUAACAAAUAUUCUGCUCUGUAGUUCUAGGGCAAGUAAACUUUGGGGCUCCUCAUUUAGGAUGUAAGAAAAUUUGAGACACGUGGUAAAAAGGGGCUGCAUGUUACAGCCCCUAUGGUAGCUAUGAUACAUUUUAAUUUCUUACAAAUGUGUUAAUAGUCUAGCCUCUGUCAGCAUGGUGAAAGGACUUGUUAAUCUUACUCGUAGUAAAAGCACAAUAAUCACAUAUACUUCAUAUUUCCAAACAAUAGACAGACUUCCACAUGAUAUAUGGACACUGCUUUUAGUUACGCUCAGAUUUAAUGAAUAGAAGAAGAUUAAUUCCCACAACAAUUCCUCCAAAGUAAACAGGUUUCACAAAUAAAUACACCAUCAUAUAUUUCAGAUAAAUAAUUUUCUGAUAUUUUAUUGGAUGUGUUAUUUUGGUUGGUCAUAGGAGGCACAGAAAUAUCCAUACCUGAGAUAAUUAGCCAUUUUGAUUUAAAAAUCAAAGCCAUCAAAUAAAUAGAAAAUACAAAAUACAGUAUGUUUAUAAGAAUUUUUUAUUGACGACUCUCAUAGAUUCCACUGGAAAUCUAUAAAAAACUUUUUUUUUUUUCAAAUGAAUUUGUAAAGAUUUAAAAUUUCACCUUACUCACAUUUUCCAUUGGUUUUAGUUCUAAUUUCAAUUGCCGGAGUAAUGAUUGCUUCCACCGAAAAAAGACGAUAAUGGGCAUAAAUCACAGUGAAAUUAAAUUGUGGUAGAUACUGAAAUAAAUAAAUCUUUUUUUUUUUUUCCCAAAAGGACCUAGAGUUGAUAUUUAUCAAAGUGGAAAAUUGGAAAAUGACUACUGGCAUUAUUCAAGUGCUAUCUAGCCUGUUUCAAUUGGUUAUCCAUGAGCCUAUCUACUUGUAUGUGAAGUGAAAUACGAACUAGACGAAGGAGAACAUACUGGAUUUUUAAAACUACUUUUGUUAAUAUUAAAGUUGAAAUCUCUGAAUACUUGGAGUAAGCAAGCUGUAUGGUUUUGUAUGUAAGGAGAAAAACAGUUAAUGAAUGAUAGGCGUAUUUUUGGAUAUUCUUGUCUAUGAAGCAGGUCUUACAUGAAGAAUCUGCUAUCAUGUAAGAUAUCAUAUAUAGGAAUAUAUGUAUAGAGACACAUGUACUUACAAAAGUCAAAGCAAACUUAGGCAGAAUAAUUUCCAUUGCUCUAAGUAGGAAAAAAAAAUAUGGUAAGUACUCUUUGUCUUCUUGUCUAUGCCUUUGCUUUUCCAUGGAAUUAAACUAAUAAAUUAUUUUCCUGCUCAUUGUAAAGCCCCUUUUACUUAGUAAGCAAGAUAUAUUUUUAUAAUAGUCUCUUCAGUCUUAAAAUUGGGAUUAAAAUGUUGGUUCUCAGACAGAAAAAAAAAAAAAAAAUGUGACCAGAUUCUCUUCUGCUGAAAAUCUCCAUCUGAGCUUAUGGCUGCUGACACCUUGAAGCAUUCCUAAGCAAGGGACAGAAUUGAGGAGGGGCUCAUAAUGCAUGCUUUGUCUGUGAUAAGGGUAUAUUCUUCACAGGGGAAAGUAGCGAUGAACUACUGCCCUACAAAUGUUCACAUGUUCACUCUAUCUCCUAAUACACCGUUUGCACAAGGGAAUAGGAUAGAGUGCUGGCCUGGAGCAAAAGUCACUUCUCCGUACCAGUUCUGCAGAACUCUACAUACCAGGUUCAGCUGAUCCUUCUGAAAUUCCUUGCUGAGCCAAGUUUUUCUACUUUGGACCAUCUGUGCACUGCAAACACCCUGCCUCCUUGCCUGUCUGCUACAUUGCCUCCCAAAGUACUCACGAACCAUGCGGCAGUAACGUUUUUCAAAAUAUUAUCCAUACUAAAUUUAUAUCCAAGCUAUAAGACACAAGAAGUAUCUUGCGGAUCUUUGGGGUUAAGAUGGGAAUGAAUGACCUUGAGAAGACAUUCUGUGGAGGGAGAGGGGCAACCCAGUAGUAGAACUUAAUCUGAAUCACAAUUAAUGCAAUACUACAGGUGAACAACCUUCAGUGUAACAACAGUCUGACAACAACAGCUAGAUAUUUACACUGAUGUUCUAAUUUUUAAUCUGUUUCUUUAGAUUUGCAUUAUUUCCAAACAGGAGAAUAAUUGUUUACUGUAGGUGUCCUUUUAUGAAUCAUCAACAAUGAGUGAAAAUUUACUCUUACUGCAAUCCUUUAAUAAUUAAUUAGUAAUAGGGACAUACAUGUUUAAGUGUUUUGCAUGUCGUACCUUCUGUUCUUGUUUAACAGAGACAUUUCACAGCUUGUGAAUGCUGUGCGAAGAAUAUUUUCUCCUCUUUAAAAUAAAGGAAUUAGAUGACUACUUCAUUUCAAUGUUCCUAGUGAAAUACAACCUUUUGCUGAAAAUAUCAAGAGUGUACAGAGCUCGCAAGAGUUUCAGUUUUCUGCUACAGGAAGCAGAGUGGCCAUGAUGGGGGAACAGAGAUGUUCUGUUGCAUGCCACAUCUCAGGUCAAUCACUGGCAUUGGCAUGGUCAGCAAACUCCACUCUCUUGUCCUUUUUUCCUACUUUUCUUUGUACUCUGCUGGUAAAUGCAUUAUAUUUUAAUUGGGUUCGUGCAGCAACAAGUGCAGUGGAUGUCCAGGUUUGCAAAAGUGCAUUAGAUACAUUAACAGCAAUCUAAAUAGUGACUAUUGAAUCCAAGUAAGAGUUUAGAUGUGUUACAGAUUGUUAGUGGGAAAGUAAAAUAAAAAAAAAAGUAAAUGGUUCACCUUAAGCUGAGAAGUUUUUCUUUCCUGAUCAGAAAUCUUCUUCUAGCUCUGCCAUUAAUCAAAUUAGUUCUAGUGGCAGUCAAUCUGCACAUGGUUGCAGAUUUUUUUUCCUCUGGAUUUUUUCCUCUUUACUACAUAGAACACUGCUCAAAACCCACUCUUCCACAGAAUGCUUGGUACUGCUUAGGAAUAUAGACAUAAUUGUAUUUAACAAACAAAGCUGAGCUGCAAAUCUUUAGUGAAGAUGCUUGUAUAUUGGAUAAGAUAAAUCUGCCUACUCUUACGGAAGAGGUUAUGGAUACAUUUCAACUGGUUAAUCCAUGCCAGCAAACACUUUGAAGUGUUGUGAAAGCUCAAAGAUAGAGAGUGCAGAGUAUUUGUGAAAGCAGUUCCAGUGAAAGCAGUUCCACUCAAUAUUGUUUAAAUAAUUAUUAUUCUCAUCUUAACAGUAACUGAAUUAAAAGUGGUGUAUCUUUUGCCCUUUAUUUAAACCAUGGAAAAAAUAGGAUAAUAAUAAAACUAUGCUUAAUCCAACAAAGAUCAGUAAAGAUUCUAAUGCCUCUUCCUUGUCCCACUUCCCAAGUUGUUUUCACCUGUCCCAGCUCUACGUCUGGAAAGUGAACGCAAGUAUAGUCUCCUGAAAAAACUUGUUUUACUAAAG